AGGACGAACGCUGGCGGCGUGCUUAACACAUGCAAGUCGAACGGGGAUAAUUGUGGAAGUCUUCGGGAUGGAAAUGAUUAUCGAGUGGCGGACGGGUGAGUAACGCGUGAACAAUCUGUCCCAGACAGGGGGAUAACACUUGGAAACAGGUGCUAAUACCGCAUAAGACCACAGCAUCACAUGGUGCAGGGGUAAAAGGAGCGAUCCGGGUUUGGGGUGAGUUCGCGUCCGAUUAGCCAGUUGGCGGGGUAACGGCCCACCAAAGCGACGAUCGGUAGCCGAUCUGAGAGGAUGACCGGCCACAUUGGAACUGAGAGACGGUCCAAACUCCUACGGGAGGCAGCAGUGGGGAAUAUUGGGCAAUGGGCGAAAAAGCCUGACCCAGCAACGCCGCGUGAGUGAAGAAGGCUUUCGGGUUGUAAAGCUCUGUUAUAGGGGACGAAGGAAGUGACGGUACCCUAUAAGGAAGCCCCGGCUAACUACGUGCCAGCCGCCGC
rnacentral:rRNA from 1 species